UCAGGAUAAAAUAGAAAGCUGCACCACACUCUCCUGAACCAUCUCAGUAUUGUCCUGAAUAAUGAAGAUACUGGACACAAAACUUCCUUGACCAGGUCCUUAGAGCCACAAUGACAUGAUUUAUCAGCAUCAGAGGCAGCAUUCUUCAUUUUCUCAGAGCUCCUGCAUGUAAGGUGGAUUCGCUCCAGUCAGAUCAGAGGAUGACUUCUGCUGUCUACUCCAUUCUGUAAUUGGUUUCUCUGUGCAGUUUUGGUGCCUGUCCUGGAACUCACUCUGUAGACCAGGCUAGCCUCAAAAUCAGAGAUCUGCCUGGCUCUGCCUCCUGAGUGCUGGGAUGAGAGGUGCCCCUCACCUCCUCUCUCUCCCUCAGAUACACCCCUCCCCUCUCUCCCAGAUACACCCCUCCCUUUUCCUUCAGAAAAGAGCAGUCCUCCAAGAGGUGGGAUCCAAAUAGGACAAAACAAAGUGCAGUAAGUCAAGGCAAGCAUCCUCAGGUGGAGGCUGAACAAGGCAACCCGGCUGGACGAAAAGAGUCCCAAGAACAGGCGAAGAAGUCAGAGACAGAUGUGCUCUUUCUGUUAGGAGUCUCACAUGUAAUCUCCUAAUAUCUUGUCUUCUAUAUUUAUAAACAGUUAAUAGAUGAGAGAAAUUUUAAUAAAAUUUGUAAAAUUUAAUAAAAUUAAAGUUAAAUAUUAAACUAAAUGCAUGAAAUAAAACCAUUUUCUUGUAACACUUUUCUUCACUUCAGAAUAAGUAUUUAAGCAAUAAUAAAUCUUUGAACUUAAUAUGAAAAAAUAUAUAUGGAGUAAUGGUAAAUUUACUUUACUUAAAUAAACUGCUGUGACACUGCUUUUUAUUCUUUCUUUGGGGAUUAUUUAUUAAUUUUUGGCACAAGGGAUUGAUUGAAUCCCAAACCUAGAAAAUGUUAGACAAGUGAAUUCCCACUGGGCUAUAUUCCCAAAUCCUUUCAAGUCUCUCUCUCUCUCUCUCUCUCUCUCUCUCUCUCUCUCUCUCUCUCUCUCUCUCUCUCUGUGUGUGUGUGUGUGUGUGUGUGUGUGUGUGUGUGUGUGUGUGUGUGUGAAGUCAAGGUUUCACCCUACUUCCCAGACUGGCACUGAGAAUUUUCUGUAGCGCUGGCUAGCCUUGAACCCACAAUUCUCCCUCUUAUCCUCCUGAACUACCCUGUGUAUACCAUAUGUCAAGGGUAUCUCUUUAACUGUUUGAUUAUUAUGUGAUGUAUCUGUUAAUUUAUACUUUCAACUUCAAGUGAUUCCUGCGUUGAGUUGAAAUAAUUUUCUUACUUGACUAUAUUUAAUUUUUUAAAAUAUCAACAUUAAAUCAUUUAGCAGCAAGACCUAUUUGUGAUUAUGAAACCUAUUUUCAUGGCAACUAAUUGGGAGGGAAAGAAUAAUGUCAAAAUACAUCUUCCUUUUAAAAGUUUGUCCCAUGGACUGAAAAGAUAGUUACUUUUGACUGGUGAUUGGGGGAUACUUACUAGACUUCUAAGGUUCACAAGGGUGAUGUUUUCUGUAGCAACUUUUUUUUAGCAGGAUGGCAAUGAUCUGAAAUGUAACAGUAGAAUUAUCUGGCUAAGUAUCCUUACCCAACUUCCAUUUUCCAAUAUCCCCAAGUGAAAUUAUACAUAUGGAUACACAUUAAGGUUGCAGUCCACCGUGUCUGGACAGCUCUCUGGGCUCCGUGCAAAAUGGAAGAUUCCUUUUCCAGUAGGACUUCCUCCAGACCUGGAUAUUGUCUCUAGGAUUGGAGGCCUGACCCUAUCUGGAAGCUGUCCCUAAGCCUGAAUGCCUAACCUAUCUCAAGGGAGGCCUUUGACACAGAUUCCUGCAGACACUCUCGCCCUGCUGCCCAUGUGAUAAUUCAGUUUUGUGCUCCCAGCUGUGUGGUAGGACAAUGUUGCCAAACGCAAAUUAAUUAGGUGAUGCCGGGGAUGCUGUUCCCAUCCUCUAUAUCUUCCCUCACUCUGGAAUAAAAGUGAGCUGUUACAUUGAAGCAGUCUCCUUGAAAGUUAUUUCCAUGGUACUCACAAGCCCUCUAAACUCUGUUGCCUGCUUCUGCUUCCUCCUCCCUCGUGGACUAGCUGCCAAAGAUGCCAAGGAAGAGGGAGACCCACAUGCCUAUUCAAUGCAACUUCUUACAAAGUCUUGAGGUCUGAGUUUUAGCCAUUUGCCACUUAGUGAAAAUGUCUGUGGAAGCCUGCCCACUCCAACUCUACACUCUGGAUCCCUUCAGAACUCAGCCACCAUUGCGUCUUCUUUGAGUUGCUGAUUUGUAGCCUUAUACUAUCCUUUGCAAUAAAUGAGCAACAGUUUAGGUGGGAUGCUUUCCUGAACCACCCUAACAAAUUACUGAAGCUAGGGAAGGGUCAAAGGACCUUCUGAUUUGGAGCCCUUCCAGUCAAAAGUUGUGGGUAAUCUGAGUUCUGCCUGUGGGAGGGAGGUGUUGUAGGAGUGAGCUCUUGUCCUAUGUGGUCUGAGCUCACAACAGUGCCACAGUUGAAUUGAAUUGUAAGAUAAACCAGCUGGUGCAAGAUGGUUGGUUGCUACAGAAAGAAAAAUAAAAGAUCCCCCAUGCAUCUUGUUUCGUAAGCAAUAGUGUGAACAGAGAGAAAACUGCUCAUUUUUCUCUCCCUUCUUCUCUCUCCCUCCCUCUCUCUUUCUCCCUCUCAAACCUCUUUUUUUCAGGAGAAAAGUGUGUAUCAAUCCAGACAUUACUAUAUUACAGUGGUUUGCUGGCAAAUAGCCUGAGGAUUUGAAAGGAAAAAAUAUGCAAACAAACAUUUGGAACCAUUCAAAUCAUUUUGAAGGUUAAGUGCAGCCAAGGAGCAUAUAUUAUCCUCAGUCUAAAAGCAAUCCUUUGUGUUCUACUUAGAAGUAACAUUUGAAAGAUGUGGCUAGGUAUAGAUGUUCUAUUUUUGUUUUAAGUAUUUGGACCAGUUUAUAAGAAUAAAGGAGAAAUGAAGGUUAUCACUGUUUUCAAAAAAGACUUUAAGUGGAUACUAACUUAUUUUUGUAAUCGAUAAAGAACAAUGUUACUCUCAAAGGAUUAUAGAAAUGAAUUGUCCAUAUGGUUACAUAGUAACAAUAUUCCUCUCUUUUUUUUCAAACUGUACUGAUUUUUUACUGAAUAUAAUGAAAGAAAGAAGAUAUGAAACCUAAAAUGGAGAAUCCUUAUUAGCUUGAGUUUCUCUUUACUGUGGUGUUUGGGGCUGUUGUUUAAUAGAUACAUAAACAUAUAGAUGUUUGUAUACACAACAAACUUUUCUAAUUUUACACCAAGUACAAACCAUUAGAAUUUCAGAACAGGUAAACUAUUUGCUAAUUUCAUGGUAAGUGAAUUAAUCUUAUUGUUAAAUCAUUUUAAGAUUCUUAGAUCACUGGGUGUGAGUUUCAGAGGAAAACUAUAGUGAAGAAUUUUAUCAAGUGUACAUAUUAAACUUAAUUUUGUCAAAGCACAUAUAUUCAUGGAAGUGAUAUUUAUUGGACAACACAUUAUUGGAAAGGUCUCUGUUCAAGGCCAAUAUUCCCCCAAACUGUUUUUUUUUUUUUUUUUUUGUUCAGGAAGAUAAAUGAAAUGAUAGCACCUGAGUUCAGGUUUUCUUUGUUUGACUAUCACAUUUAAUCAUGGUUACACAGUAGCACCGAAAUCAGGACAAAAUACAAGAAUUACAAGAGAGAUCUUAAAUAAUAUGGGCUCAUUGCAUGCUUUGUAAGGAUUCAUUUCUGAGAAAAGAAUUCCCAUUGCCAAAAUU